rnacentral:sRNA from 1 species
GAUUGCUCUGGAUUGAUAAAGUGAACGUGCGUAUCUAUCCCACCGGCCGUAAUGAUUUUUCCUUCAGCAGAAAUAACAUCUGUAGUAGCACCAAUGACGAUAUCGACGUUGCCCAUAAUAUCUGGAUUUCCAGCUUUACCGUAUUUCAUAAUAAAGCCAUUUUUAAUACCAAUAUCAGCUUUGAUUACUUUGUCAUAAUCAAUAAUCACAGCAUUAGUAAUAACUAAGUCUGCUACAUCUUUAUCAUCACGUGUGACAUUAGGGUUUUGAGACAUACCAUCUC